GACGGGGCCCGCACAAGCGGUGGAGUAUGUGGUUUAAUUCGAUGCAACGCGAAGAACCUUACCUGGUCUUGACAUCCCGGAGACCCUUAGGAAACUAGGGGGUGCUUCCAUCUGGAAGAAUCUGGAGACAGGUGCUGCAUGGCUGUCGUCAGCUCGUGUCGUGAGAUGUUGGGUUAAGUCCCGCAACGAGCGCAACCCUUGCCUUUAGUUGCCAGCAGUUCGGCUGGGCACUCUAAAGGGACUGCCGGUGUUAAACCGGAGGAAGGUGGGGAUGACGUCAAGUCCUCAUGGCCUUUAUGACCAGGGCUACACACGUACUACAAUGGCCGAUACAAAGGGCAGCGACACUGCGAGGUGAAGCCAAUCCCGUAAAAUCGGUCUCAGUCCGGAUUGGAGUCUGCAACUCGACUCCAUGAAGUUGGAAUCGCUAGUAAUCGUGGAUCAGCAUGCCACGGUGAACACGUUCCCGGGCCUU
rnacentral:rRNA from 1 species